rnacentral:rRNA from 1 species
CUUCCGUAGGGUGAACCUGCGGAAGGAUCAUUACCGAGUGCGGGUCCUUUGGGCCCAACCUCCCAUCCGUGUCUAUUGUACCCUGUUGCUUCGGCGGGCCCGCCGCUUGUCGGCCGCCGGGGGGGCGCCUCUGCCCCCCGGGCCCGUGCCCGCCGGAGACCCCAACACGAACACUGUCUGAAAGCGUGCAGUCUGAGUUGAUUGAAUGCAAUCAGUUAAAACUUUCAACAAUGGAUCUCUUGGUUCCGGCAUCGAUGAAGAACGCAGCGAAAUGCGAUAACUAAUGUGAAUUGCAGAAUUCAGUGAAUCAUCGAGUCUUUGAACGCACAUUGCGCCCCCUGGUAUUCCGGGGGGCAUGCCUGUCCGAGCGUCAUUGCUGCCCUCAAGCCCGGCUUGUGUGUUGGGUCGCCGUCCCCCUCUCCGGGGGGACGGGCCCGAAAGGCAGCGGCGGCACCGCGUCCGAUCCUCGAGCGUAUGGGGCUUUGUCACAUGCUCUGUAGGAUUGGCCGGCGCCUGCCGACGUUUUCCAACCAUUCUUUCCAGGUUGACCUCGGAUCAGGUAGGGAUACCCGCUGAACUUAAGCAUAUCAAUAAGCGGAGGA